rnacentral:rRNA from 1 species
GAUGAACGCUGGCGGCGUGCCUAAUACAUGCAAGUCGAGCGAUCGGACGAGAAGCUUGCUUCUCUGAUGUUAGCGGCGGACGGGUGAGUAACACGUGGAUAACCUACCUAUAAGCCUGGGAUAACUUCGGGAAACCGGAGCUAAUACCGGAUGAUAUUUUGAAACGCAUGGUUCAAGAGUGAAAGAUGGUAUUGCUGUCACUUAUAGAUGGAUCCCCGCUGCAUUAGCUAGUUGGUAAGGUAACGGCUUACCAAGGCAAAGCUGCAUAGCCGACACGAGAGGGGGAGCGGGCCCAAUGGGAAUGAGACACGGCCUCCAACCCCCUGGGGGGCGGCGGUAGGGGAUCUUUGCCAAAGGGGGAAAGACCGAGCGAGCAACGCCGCGCGAGUGAAGAAGGUUUUCGGAUCGGAAAAAUCGGUUGGUAGAGAAGAACGUUGGUGUGAGUGGAAAGGUCACCAAGUGACGGUAACUAAACAGAAAGGCACGGCUAACUACGUG